CCUAAAAUAAAACAAUUAAAUAAGUAACAAUUUGGAGCUUAACAGACGACCAACUGACUCAGUAUUGGAUUUAUCUGACUACAUUUAAUGGCAAGGCAACACACAUCGGCUCUUCAAGCAGCAAUAAAUCGACUAUUCGUACAACAAUAAACGAUCACUGUGCUCGCCCCUCGGACAAGUAGAGAUAUAUGUAUUUCGCAUGAUGGCAUACAACUACUCGAAAGCAAUAUGUACUCAAUUAUAUGUAUUUCAUUUAGCUUACGUAGUUGAAAUCUUUCAAAAUUACACAAUUAAAAAAAAAAUAUAUACAUAUUGCGCAUCACCAUUCAGCAAUUAAUAAGGAAUUUUCAUACUCGUUUUAUGACAACAUGUAUAAAUCAAUAAAACGUCAGCGUAAAAGCCUAAAAAUAUGUGUAUUUUCUAUUGUUAAUGGAACCUACGAAUAACAUCGUCAACAGGUUACAAUUAAGCAUGGUAUUUGGACAUGUAAACAGACUGAAACUCAAUUGAGUUUUGAUUUAAAAGGCCAACCAAUUGUGAAACUAAUUGGCGCCGUUUACGGCUUCGAUCCUCUUAUGUACGCGCCCAAUGCGAUUACACACAUACAUAGUGCUUCAGUUAUGUAUGUGAGGUGGAAAUUGGGAACACUUUUAUAGCUAUCUCAAGGCGCUUAAAUCAAUACGUUAUACGAUUGAUUUGGUAAACGCACAAUGAGUUGCAGACAAUCGGUGAACAAAACGAAUCCUAUCGACUAAGAGACACCCUAUAUACAAUUCCACAACAUCAAAUUCUCAUAAAGAAGAAAUCAAAUGUGUAAACAAUCAUAGUAAAGCCUUAUAAUUUAAAUAGAAACUGCAUGGGGUUCUUCUAAGAAACAUCAAGAUUAGUUCUACUGCUGGUAUAGCGCAAGUAUUUAAAUAUAUU